rfam:Myotis brandtii contig311631, whole genome shotgun sequence.
GGUGGUUCCUGGGUGAUGCACCCCAGAAUUGGACUUCCUCCUCUCUGGUCCCAGGUGUGUCACUCAAGAACUGCA